CAAUGGCACAUCAGUCUCUUUACCUUCUCUUCCUCGUUGUCUUAUCAUCAAUCAGCAGCCAUGUAAUUCAAGUUGAGGGUCGCCAUCUUUUGGACGCAACUUUGCCAGAUCUCCCCAUUGGCCUCCCGAAACCCGAGCUACCAACAUUACCUAUGCCCAAUCUUCCACUGCCGCAGCCUGGAUUGCCCACAUUACCUAUGCCCAAUCUUCCACUGCCACAGCCUGGAUUGCCCACAUUACCUAUGCCUAAUCUUCCUCUGCCACAACUUCCAAACCCUCAGCUGCCACCUUUGCCCAAACCGGAGUUGCCAUUACCUAUGCCAGAACUUCCCAAACCUCAGCUACCUCUGCCACAGUUGCCAAUACCAUCGCCACCUCUGCCAAGCCCUUAAGUACUAAAGUUCCUUCAAUGAAGGGAAGUGUACUACGUGCUAUCCAGGAUGACUCAUUUGUAUCAUUAUUGUCGUAUUUGUUAACCUCCUCAUGUUAAUGUUGUUAAAACUUUUGUAUGUAACUCUCUUGUUAGU
rnacentral:lncRNA from 1 species